rnacentral:rRNA from 1 species
GAGUUUGAUCGUGGCUCAGGACGAACGCUGGCGGCGUGCCUAACACAUGCAAGUCGAGCGAAGAAACCCCUUCGGGGGUGGAUUAGCGGCGGACGGGUGAGUAACACGUGGGUAACCUACCUCAAAGAGGGGGAUAGCCUCCCGAAAGGGAGAUUAAUACCGCAUAAAAGGUGAAUACCGCAUGGUAAAUACCUUAAAGGAGCAAUCCGCAUUGAGAUGGGCCCGCGGCGCAUUAGCUAGUUGGAGGGAUAAAAGCCCCCCAAGGCGACGAUGCGUAGCCGACCUGAGAGGGUGAACGGCCACAUUGGAACUGGGACACGGUCCAGACU